rnacentral:rRNA from 1 species
AUUGAACGCUGGCGGCAGGCCUAACACAUGCAAGUCGAGCGAGCGGCGGACGGGUAAGUAAUGUCUGUGAAACUGCCUGAUGGAGGGGGAUAACUACUGGAAACGGUAGCUAAUACCGCGUACCAUCAGGACUGCCCAGAUGGGAUUAGCUAGUAGGUGGGGUAACGGCUUACCCAGGCGACGAUCACUAGCUGGUCUGAGAGGAUGACCAGCCACACUGGAACUGAGACACGGUCCAGGCUCCUACGGGAGGCAGCAGUGGGGAAUAUUGCACAAUGGGCGCAAGCCUGAUGCAGCCAUGCCGCGUGUGUGAAGAAGGCCUUCGGGUUGUAAAGCACUUGCAGCGGGGAGGCGUUACCCGCAGAAGAAGCACCGGCUAACUCCGUGCCAGCCGCCGCGGUAAUAC